CCUACGGGUGGCUGCAGUAGGGAAUAUUGCUCAAUGGGGGAAACCCUGAAGCAGCAACGCCGCGUGGAGGAUGACGGUUUUCGGAUUGUAAACUCCUUUUGUUAGAGAAGAUAAUGACGGUAUCUAACGAAUAAGCACCGGCGAAUUCCGUGCCAGCAGCCGCGGUAAUACGGAGGGUGCGAGCGUUACUUGGAAUCUCUGGGCGUAAAGUGCGCGUAGGCGGGAUAGCAAGACAGAUGUGAAAUCCUAUGGCUUAACCAUAGAACUGCAUUUGAAACUGUUAGUCUAGAGUAUGGGAGAGGGAGGUGGAAUUCUUGGUGUAGGAGUGAAAUCCGUAGAGAUGAGGAAGAAUACUGAUUGCGAAGGCGGCCUGCUAGAACAUAACUGACGCUGAUGCGCGAAAGCGUGGGGAGCAAACAGGAUUAGAUACCCGAGUAGUC
rnacentral:rRNA from 1 species